AGGAGGGCCCCGAAGCAGCAGGUACUGCUAAUACUUGCACUCACGGUUAAACCCCGUGGCUUCCUCG
rnacentral:tRNA from 1 species